UUUUGGCCCCAAAAAUUUUCACUACUUUUUAGUUUCCCACCAAAAUUUGACCCCAUUACAUUUCAGCAAAAUAGUUUUGCUUCCCCCAAAAUUAGACCCCAUUACAUUUCAGCAAAGUAGCUUUAAUUCCCCAAAAUUAGACUCUUCUAAGCUUCGACACAGUUAAUUUCUCGGUGAUUUCAGUAAAGUAGCAAGCCGUUCACUUCGACUCCGUUGUCAUCUUCACUAAGAGGUUUAGUUGAAUAACUUUUGGAUCUUCUUCAUAUUGGGUCCUUCAAUUCUUGCCCAAAUUUGUCUCUGAUUUCCUAUAAAACUUCAACAACCUCCAUUUUCAAUCAAGGAUCAAGAGGAGAAGGCAAAGAGGGGUUCUUUCUUCAAGGCGAGGGUGGCUGCUGCUAUAAGCUCAUCGGAUGAUUCACAAGAAGUUCAAGAACUCGAUGUAAAUAGCAUAUACUUGGAUGUUGUGGGUGGAGAGAAAAAACGUGUGUAUGGAUUGGGCUCUCAAGCUUUGACCAUGUAUAAAGAUUAUAAUUCUGCCACUUCAUGCAUCAUGCAAUAUAGUGACUGAUCGUGCUGCUGAUCAAGAGCGCAUCAAAUAACUUAAGGAAGAGAUGUUGCGAAUGAAAGAAAAUCAAGAGAGGAUUCUUCAAGAGCGUGUAGAGGCGGAAGUACAACAACGCGUAGAGAAGGAGGUCUCGGAUCGGUUUAAGUCUAUGGAGGAUCGAUGGUCUCACAUGAUGAGUGUGAUGGGUUUAUCUUCUCGCUCAUUUGGUAGUCCUACUCUCCCUAACAGGGACUCACCAAAUGCUUAAGUGUUUGACAUUUUAGACUUUGGUUAGUUGGAUAUUCUAAGUGUUGUUUCCAACGUUGUCAGACAUUUGUUAGUUGGAUGCUUUGUAAGUUUAAAAUUUUUGUAGACUUUUGCUUAUUGAAGUGGUGUAUUUGCGUGUUUUAACGGAAAGUUUUUGUAUUAUAAAUUUAAUAUUAUGUUUGUCA